rnacentral:rRNA from 1 species
GACGUAGGGGGCGAGCGUUAUCCGGAUUCACUGGGCGUAAAGGGCGCGCAGGCGGCUACGUAAGUCCGGCGUGAAAUCCCACGGCUCAACUGUGGAACUGCGUCGGAUACUGCGUUGGCUUGAGGAUGGUAGAGGCUUUUGGAACUAGCGGUGUAGCGGUGAAAUGCGCAGAUAUCGCUAGGGACGCCGGUGGCGAAGGCGGAAAGCUGGGCCAUUCCUGACGCUGAGGCGCGAAAGCUAGGGGAGCGAACCGG